GGUCCCGUAGUGGAGCGGUUUAACACGCCUGCCUGUCACGCAGGAGACCGCGGGUUCGAUUCCCGUCGGGACCGCCA
rnacentral:tRNA from 1 species